ACACAUGGACUGUGUACUGAACAGAACUUGAGAUAUUCGGUCACAAGAGAGAGCUAAAGCAGCAUCAUCUGCAUCAGGAGAGUCAUAUGUUGCUGUGAAUCAUCAGCAAAAAACAUACAAAUAAACAAACAACAUAUAUUACAAAAUAAAACAUUUUCGAUUCUUAUGUUGCUUGCAAAUUCUUUUAUUUUACCGGAAUACACAAAUACUUUUGAGUAGCCUUCAGAUGAGGAGGUUGCCUCCUUUCCUCAGGGUGUAGUUAUAUCAUCUACCAGCAGGGGUGAAACAGGCCACACUAACCGAGUAGGGGGAGGCUGCAGACACGCCCCUGUUGUUCCUCAUGCGUCCAGUAGGGGGAGGCUGUAUAUUAGUAUAUGAGCCUAGUCAUCAAAACAGCAGACCAUAUCUGUAUGAUAGCAGCAGACAUUUUUUGAAGCGAUACAAAUUGAGGUUGCGUGACAUGGCUUCUUCUGGUAAGACCCUGUUUACUCCUUGCAUUUAAACAUACUCCACAUGGUUUCUGGAGCACAUUAGAGUGGAUAAUCACAAAUGUGUGAUUUUUUUUUGAUUUUUUUUUUGACAGUCUAUGAUGUGAACACACAAAAUACACAUUUAUAGGCAUGCAUGUAUGUAUGCAAAUCUCUAAGUCUCUGCACAAGUUGAACUGCACACUCACUCAAGUAUUUUGUCAAAUAAUACAAACAUAUGCCAUGCAUGAUAAAACCUACAUUAAAAACUUUGGUGGGUCAAUAUCACUGUAGGGUGCCUUUUGGUGUCCUGAACAUAAAUAACUCAUUUGCCAUGAUAACUCAACAUACAAAUGACUAUGAAAGGUGUGUUAUAUUAGGCUAAGUUUUUUUUAUUCAUAACAGAAGCAUUACUUGGCUCUUUAGAUACAUUUUCAAUAUUUUCUUUAGUUUUGUAUGAGAGGAUGUAUGUUGUUUUGCUAUGUCCCAGGCACUGCUCAUUAAAUUUGAAUGAGAGUAAAACAGUCAAAUGAAAAAAAAAAAAUGUUUUCCUAUUAGUAUUUUGUUAAAUAAGAUAUUACUCAAAUUGAGUGUAUUGAUCAUUUUGUAAUAAAAACAAUAUUUUUAUUUGAUAAAAAAGAAGAGUUUGUCCAUGUCCCUUGAAUGGUUGUCCAGCCUGUCAUAUUGCGGAAUCUGUCCCUUUAAGAAGAGGCUAUCACCAUUAGUGACAUCAUCACAACAGAUUUUUUUUUAUAUCUUCAGUGGCGAGAAUUUCAACUGCUGAGGUGAGUAGCAGUUGACUUUUCAACUGACAAAUUUUCUUCAUAUAAGUUUGCUUACUUGGUUUGCCAAAGCUUAACAUGUCCACCCUGUCGCCAUAAAAUAUACAGGAAGUGAUUAAAAUACAAUAUUUUCAAAAUAUGUAAGUUUAAAUAUACCAAAUUCUCUUCAACAACCAGACUAACUAUUUAGCUAGUCACAGUUUGUUGUAAGCUAAUAUGCUAAUUGAAGCUCAAAAUGUCCACCCUGUCGUUGUUAAAAAAUGUCCACCCUGUCGGCCACUUAGACUCGAUGGGGUGGACAUCGCAUUCAUUUGUACUUAAUAUUGCAAUUUAUAGAAAUGUUAUAUUACAUAAAAUAUCAGUGUGAUUGAGAAUAUAAUUAGAUAUUUAUUUUUUUAAGUUGAGUAAAUGUUUCAUUGUCAUAUUUUGUCAUGCUUUUUGUGUUCUGCUUCAUGUGUCCACUCCGUUGUGGGCUCGUCCACCCUGUCAUCUUGGUUUUUUUAAAUAAUAUUUAAAAUAAUAAUGUAAUCAUACCUAUAUAAUCCAUUGUGCUAGGUGUGGGGGCAAUAACAUGCAAACAAAAAACUGCGUCCAAAUAUUCAAAUAUUUCUCCAAAUAAGAAAAAAUACAUGUGCGAAUUGUAUGAGUUUCUUUAAAAAAAUUUUUUUACAUAAAAUCUUUUAUGUAUUUAUAAUUUGAAAGCAAACAAAUAACCCUGUUUAGGAAAGGGACAUCAUACCUUUCAGAAAGUAUAAUUUGUAUCUUAAUAGUGCAAUGAAAACACAUUUAACUGUAAUUUAUAUGUCCACGACAGGGUGGACAUAUCUAUGCUUUAUGCUCUAAAAAAUGGCCCAUAAUUAAAAAAAAAACAUUGUGGGAGCUCAGAUAAUAUAUUUAUUAUAGUAUUUGAGUGUCUACUAUUAUGACAUGACAUAAAGUGAAUGGUAAAUUAAAAUCAAAAUGUGUGAGUAUUGUGAGGGUUGAAAGGCACUCUAUGGUGAUAUUGACCCUGGUCUCAUAUGGUUUAAAUGUAGAUUUUGAUUUGAGUUGUUUCUUAUAAA
ensembl:lncRNA